rnacentral:rRNA from 1 species
CGUGAGGGAAAGGUGAAAAGAACCCCUGUGAGGGGAGUGAAAUAGAAUCUGAAACCGUGUACGUACAAGCAGUGGGAGCCCUUUUUAGGGUGACUGCGUACCUUUUGCAUAAUGGGUCAGCGACUUAUAUUCUGUGGCAAGCUUAACCGAAUAGGGGAGGCGUAGGGAAACCGAGUCUUAAUAGGGCGUCAAGUCGCAGGGUAUAGACCCGAAACCAGGCGAUCUACCCAUGGCCAGGCUGAAAGUUAGGUAACACUGACUGGAGGGCCGAACCCACAUCUGUUGCAAUAGAUGGGGAUGAGCUGUGGGUCGGAGUGAAAGGCUAAUCAAGCUUGGAGAUAGCUGGUUCUCCCCGAAAGCUAUUUAGGUAGCGCCUCAUGUAAUUUACUUCCGGGGGUAGAGCACUGUUUCGGCUAGGGGGUCAUCCCGACUUACCAACCCGAUGCAAACUCCGAAUACCGGAAAGUAUUAUCAUGGGAGACACACAGUGGGUGCUAACAUCCCUUGUGGAGAGGGACACAACCCAGACUGCCAGCUAAGGUCCCUAAAUUAUCGCUCAGUGGUAAACGAUGUGGGAAGGCAUAGACAGCUAGGAUGUUGGCUUAGAAGCAGCCA